CACGUAGUUAGCCGGGGCUUUCUGGUGAGGUACCGUCAAGGGGUGAGCUUCUUCAACUCACCCUUGUUCUUCCCUCACAACAGAGUUUUACGAUCCGAAGACCUUCAUCACUCACGCGGCGUCGCUCCGUCAGACUUUCAUCCAUUGCGGAAGAUUCCCUACUGCUGCCUCCCGUAGGAGUCUGGGCCGUGUCUCAGUCCCAGUGUGGCCGAUCACCCUCUCAGGUCGGCUACGCAUCGUCGCCUUGGUGAGCUUUUAUCCCACCAACCAGCUAAUGCGACGCGGGCCCAUCUUUUGGCGACAGCUCGAAGAGCCGUCUUUCAUUUUUCCUUCAGGCGAAGGAAAUCUUAUCCGGUAUUAGCUCCAGUUUCCCGGAGUUAUCCCGAACCAUAAGGCAGGUUGCCCACGUGUUACUCACCCAUCCGCCGCUCAUUCCACAGACGUCCGCUCCGAAGAGCUUCUGUCUGCUUCCUGCGCUCGACUUGCAUGUAUUAGGCACGCCGCC
rnacentral:rRNA from 1 species